GUAUGAGCGCCCUAUAUUCCUGGCCUUUGUUUCACGUUUUCGCACAGAGAGGUCAUGCAACGACUAUCUUGGGAAGGCUCCGCCGACGUGCUAUAACAGGGGGGAGGCCAUGCCGUGCAUCGCAAUAACUGGAGCUACAGCGCGCGACGCUUGGUUUCGGUGCACGCUCGACAAGUUAAAUGCGCCGUGCUCAACCUUGCGGACCUGCAUCCCGAAGCUGGUCAAGCCUAGAGUCCUGUAGUGGGGCGGCUGGAAUUCUCAUGGGUAGCCGAUCGAAAUGCGUAACAAUUGGUAAGGACGUCCACUGGCGGAAGGCGCCAUCCUGACUGAUACCGACGCUGUCGUGCCAAAGCGUGGGGAUCAAACAAGAUGAGAUACUCCGCCAGUGCACGUCCCUACACUGAUAUCUACCUAUCUGUUGGCUACUUGAGAAAUUACUGCCCCCUCUAACGCACUAUAUCGUCCGCCUGGGGAGUACGGCCGCAAGGUUAAACCUCAAGUUUUCUCAUGCGGGGCCGCACAAGCGGUGGAGCAUGUGGUUUAAUUAGAAACAACGCGAAACGCCUUACCAUGCCUUGUCAUGCAGAGAACUUUCACAGAGAUGGUCGGUGCCUUCGCGACCUCUGACACAGGUCCAGCAUGGUAGUCGUCAGCUCGUGUCGUGAGAUGUUGGGUUAACUCUCCUAACGAGCGCAACCCUUGUCCUUCGUUGCCAGCUCGUUAUGGCUGGCCCCCUAAGGACCACUAUUCCGCCAACCCGCAGGAAGUCGGGGAUGAGACCCACUCAUCCUCGCACCGCGGGGCUCGCCCACCACGGCCAACUAUGGUCGGUACAGAGGGUGAGCCAUCCGCGAGCUGGAGAUAAUCUCACAACCCCGAUCGUAGUCCAGACCGCACUCUAAACUCGUCUCCGUGAAGUCGGAAUCGCUAGUAAUCGUAGAUCAGAAUGUGACGGUGAAUACGUUACCGGGACGCGGAUACAUAGGCCUUAAGGCCACCCCAGUCGUAUACGGGUCCCUCGUUACGCCAUACGCUACAAUUAGAUAUAUGUAUCAAUCUUAC
rnacentral:rRNA from 1 species